rnacentral:lncRNA from 1 species
UAAAGGCAUGUGCCACCAACACCCGACAAGACAUUGUUUUUAAUUCUUAGAACAAUUACAAAGUAACCUAGAACUCUUAUUUAGGUAUGAGAAAGAGGAGGCCAAGAGAGAUGUCAUAAUGUUGCUAGAGGUGGACUCAGGACCACUCUUCAAGUGGUAUAGGUCACAGGUGUAGUGUCACCUGGGGAGAGAGUCUCCGUGAGGGAUUAUCUAGAUCAGACUGGGUUGUAGGCAAUCUUUGGGAUUCGAGGUGUAAAGCAUGCCCACUGUGGGUGGCGCGGAUCCUGCCCUGUAUAGGCCGGAGAAAGCAGGCUGAGCACAGCUGUUCAGGUACCCUUUCACUCCUCCUGCUUCUCAACUAGAUAAAUGUGGCCCCCUGUCUCAAGCUGCUGUCACUGGGACCUCCCCAUGAUGGUGAGCUAUAACCUAGGCCUGAGCUAAAGCAAACCCUUUAUGUCAUACAUUGUUUCUCUCAGAGUAUCUGGUUGCAGCAAUAGUGGUGAAACUGUUCAUGUAACCAAGCCCCGGGUUGGGUAGGCCAGAAUGCCUAUCUCAGGGGAAAAUGUGACUCUCACCAAGCCUGUCUGUGUCUAUUUCAUGAGGCGAAGCAGCUUGGGGUAUCUUGUGGUUAUGGGAACAGGACAGGAUUAAGUAAUCAAAACACCAAAAGAAAAGUCUGGAAUUUCAGAUUCUGCACAAACAAAAGCAAAGGUGACCUCAGAGGAUGCCUCACUUUGGUUUUCUGAAGGAACUCCUUUGCUGUGGCCUAUUGAAGGUGGGGGAGGGGGAGGGCUCUGGAAAGCAGCCCGAUGCCAUCUCCUUGUAAGGCUGGAUAUUGACAUGGACAACAAGCACCCCCAAAAGCUCCUGCACUGAUUCUCCUUGUACUCAUCAUUAUUUUAUGACCCCUAUUUCCCCCUCUAAUUUGGGCAUACACCUUUGGCACCGCUUGGCUUCCUGGAGAUGUCAUUUGCAAAGCGGCCAGGUCGAAGUGACAGAGUUGCUCUUAUCUGCAAACUCCUCUCUUAACCAUAAUUCGGACAAGUCGCACCUCCCACAGGAAAUGAGGUGUGCAUGACUCCAGUUUAUGGAAUUUGGCAGCCUUCCACCAAUACCUCUGAUUUUGUUACAUGUAUUUGAACAGCAGGAAAGUCUUUUAGAAGACUGAAACCA